UACAGAGGGUACAAGCGUUGUUCGGAAUUAUUGGGCGUAAAGCGCGCGUAGGCGGUCUAGAUAGUCAGAUGUGAAAGCCCUGGGCUCAACCCAGGAAUUGCGUUUGAUACUGUUAGACUAGAGACUUAGAGAGGUGAGUGGAAUUCCUAGUGUAGAGGUGAAAUUCGUAGAUAUGGGGAGGAACACCGGUGGCGAAGGCGGCCACCUGGACGGAUACUGACGCUGAGACGCGAAAGCGUGGGUAGCAAACAGG
rnacentral:rRNA from 1 species